UGGUCCCAAAGGAGCCCACCACAGGCAGC
rnacentral:piRNA from 1 species